rnacentral:rRNA from 1 species
AGAACGAACGCUGGCGGCAUGCCUAAUACAUGCAAGUCGAACGAACACUUCGGUGUUAGUGGCGCACGGGUGCGUAACGCGUGGGAAUCUGCCCUUGGGUUCGGAAUAACAGUUGGAAACGACUGCUAAUACCGGAUGAUAUCGAAAGAUCAAAGAUUUAUCGCCCAGGGAUGAGCCCGCGUAGGAUUAGCUAGUUGGUGAGGUAAAGGCUCACCAAGGCGACGAUCCUUAGCUGGUCUGAGAGGAUGAUCAGCCACACGUGGGACUGACGACACGGCCCAGACCUCCGACGGGAGCAGCGAGGUAGGAAUAGUGGACAAGUGGGCGACAAGCCUAGACUCCAGCAAGUCGCCGCGUGAGUGA